ACGGGUGAGGAACACGUAGGAAUCUACCCUCAAGCGGGGGACAACCAAGGGAAACUUUGGCUAAUACCGCAUAAAGUCGAGAGAUGAAAGUUGCUCGCAAGGGUGACACUUGAGGAGGAGCCUGCGUCCGAUUAGCUAGUUGGUGGGGUAAAAGCUUACCAAGGCGAUGAUCGGUAACUGGUCUGAGAGGACGACCAGUCACACUGGGACUGGGACACGGCCCAGACUCCUACGGGAGGCAGCAGUGGGGAAUAUUGGACAAUGGGGGCAACCCUGAUCCAGCGAUGCCGCGUGAGUGAAGAAGGCCUUCGGGUCGUAAAGCUCUUUAGUUUGGGAAGAAGUGUGGUUGAGGAAAUGCGAUCACAUUGACGGUACCGAAAGAAUAAGCACCGGCAAACUCUGUGCCAGCAGCCGCGGUAAUACAGAGGGUGCGAGCGUUAAUCGGAGUUACUGGGCGUAAAGGGCGCGUAGGCGGUGAUAUGAGUGUGAUGUGAAAGCCCCGGGCUUAACCUGGGAAGUGCAUCGCAAACGAUAUGACUAGAGUACAUGAGAGGGUGGCGGAAUUUCCGGUGUAGCG
rnacentral:rRNA from 1 species